rnacentral:snRNA from 1 species
GAAUGUGAAGUUUGAUCUGGCCGCGACAUCUGUCACCCCAUUGAUGGCUAGGGUUGAUUCAGCUGAUCUGGCUGGCUAGGCAGGUGUCCCCUUCCUCCCUCAUCACAUCACCUGUGUCCCUCCUGAAGCUGUGUGCUAGGCCAAAGAGGACAAUGUUCCCAGAGUUGAGAUGGACUGGUCUUUGGUUGAGAAUAUACAAGUAGCUGUGUUCCCCUGCUAGCACCUCCAAACAAGCUCUCAAGAAUAUUUGCUUUAACUGACAGCCAUCUGGAGAAACAACUAGAAAAAAAAAUAGAAAUAGUGAAAUUUCCAUUAAAACAAGUAAUAUGAUAAGAAUGUUUUCUUU